rnacentral:rRNA from 1 species
GACGAACGCUGGCGGCGUGCUUAACACAUGCAAGUCGAACGGUGAAGCCCUUCGGGGUGGAUCAGUGGCGAACGGGUGAGUAACACGUGAGCAACCUGCCCCUGGCUCUGGGACAACCACUGGAAACGGUGGCUAAUACCGGAUACGACCCGCCUCGGCAUCGAGUGGGGGUGGAAAGUUUUUCGGCUGGGGAUGGGCUCGCGGCCUAUCAGCUUGUUGGUGAGGUGAAGGCUCACCAAGGCGACGACGGGUAGCCGGCCUGAGAGGGCGACCGGCCACACUGGGACUGAGACACGGCCCAGACUCCUACGGGAGGCAGCAGUGGGGAAUAUUGCACAAUGGGCGAAAGCCUGAUGCAGCGACGCCGCGUGAGGGAUGACGGCCUUCGGGUUGUAAACCUCUUUCAGCACGGAAGAAGCGAAAGUGACGGUAGCUGCAGAAGAAGCACCGGCUAACUACGUG